CAGUAGCCACGGUAAUACGUAGGGUGCAAGCGUUGUCCGGAAUUAUUGGGCGUAAAGAGCUCGUAGGCGGCUUGUUGCGUCGACUGUGAAAACCUGGGGCUCAACCCCGGGCCUGCAGUCGAUACGGGCAAGCUAGAAUUCGGUAGGGGAGACUGGAACUCCUGGUGUAGCGGUGAAAUGCGCAGAUAUCAGGAAGAACACCGGUGGCGAAGGCGGGUCUCUGGGCCGAUAUUGACGCUGAGGAGCGAAAGCGUGGGGAGCAAACAGGAUUAGAUACCCCCGUAGUCCCUGUCUCUUAUAC
rnacentral:rRNA from 1 species